UGGAGCUCGAUGAAGGUUAUGGGUGAAAAAUGAGGGUUUUUAUAACGUGCAUGGAAGCAGGAGGAAGUUAAAAAAAAUAAAUGAAGCCACUGAACAUAAAUGUUUUUAAUAUUCAGCAGGCAGGCUCUGCUUCCAGUGGCAUGUGCAUGAAUCCUGAACAGACCUCUCUCAUCGUGCCUCCCUGACUUCACCGAUACACUUGA
rnacentral:lncRNA from 1 species